rnacentral:rRNA from 1 species
GGGUUGUGAGGUUAAGCGACUAAGCGUACACGGUGGAUGCCCUGGCAGUCAGAGGCGAUGAAGGACGUGCUAAUCUGCGAUAAGCGCCGGUAAGGUGAUAUGAACCGUUAUAACCGGCGAUUUCCGAAUGGGGAAACCCAGUGUGACUCGUCACACUAUCAUUAACUGAAUCCAUAGGUUAAUGAGGCGAACCGGGGGAACUGAAACAUCUAAGUACCCCGAGGAAAAGAAAUCAACCGAGAUUCCCCCAGUAGCGGCGAGCGAACGGGGAGGAGCCCAGAGCCUGAAUCAGCAUGUGUGUUAGUGGAAGCGUCUGGAAAGGCGCGCGAUACAGGGUGACAGCCCCGUACACAAAAGCGCAUGUGCUGUGAGCUCGAUGAGUAGGGCGGGACACGUGGUAUCCUGUCUGAAUAUGGGGGGACCAUCCUCCAAGGCUAAAUACUCCUGACUGACCGAUAGUGAACCAGUACCGUGAGGGAAAGGCGAAAAGAACCCCGGCGAGGGGAGUGAAAAAGAACCUGAAACCGUGUACGUACAAGCAGUGGGAGCNNGUGACUGCGUACCUUUUGUAUAAUGGGUCAGCGACUUAUAUUCUGUAGCAAGGUUAACCGAAUAGGGGAGCCGGAGGGAAACCGAGUCUUAAUUGGGCGUUAAGUUGCAGGGUAUAGACCCGAAACCCGGUGAUCUAGCCAUGGGCAGGUUGAAGGUUGGGUAACACUAACUGGAGGACCGAACCGACUAAUGUUGAAAAAUUAGCGGAUGACCUGUGGCUGGGGGUGAAAGGCCAAUCAAACCGGGAGAUAGCUGGUUCUCCCCGAAAGCUAUUUAGGUAGCGCCUCGUGAAUUCAUCUCCGGGGGUAGAGCACUGUUUCGGCUAGGGGGCCAUCCCGGCUUACCAACCCGAUGCAAACUGCGAAUACCGGAGAAUGUUAUCACGGGAGACACACGGCGGGUGCUAACGUCCGUCGUGAAGAGGGAAACAACCCAGACCGCCAGCUAAGGUCCCAAAGUCAUGGUUAAGUGGGAAACGAUGUGGGAAGGCCCAGACAGCCAGGAUGUUGGCUUAGAAGCAGCCAUCAUUUAAAGAAAGCGUAAUAGCUCACUGGUCGAGUCGGCCUGCGCGGAAGAUGUAACGGGGCUAAACCAUGCACCGAAGCUGCGGCAGCGANNGUUGGGUAGGGGAGCGUUCUGUAAGCCUGCGAAGGUGGCCUGUGAGGGUUGCUGGAGGUAUCAGAAGUGCGAAUGCUGACAUAAGUAACGAUAAAGCGGGUGAAAAGCCCGCUCGCCGGAAGACCAAGGGUUCCUGUCCAACGUUAAUCGGGGCAGGGUGAGUCGACCCCUAAGGCGAGGCCGAAAGGCGUAGUCGAUGGGAAACGGGUUAAUAUUCCCGUACUUGGUGUUACUGCGAAGGGGGGACGGAGAAGGCUAUGUUGGCCGGGCGACGGUUGUCCCGGUUUAAGCGUGUAGGUGUGUGUUCCAGGUAAAUCCGGUUCACUUUAACACUGAGGCGUGAUGACGAGGCACUACGGUGCUGAAGCAACAAAUGCCCUGCUUCCAGGAAAAGCCUCUAAGCAUCAGGUAACAUCAAAUCGUACCCCAAACCGACACAGGUGGUCAGGUAGAGAAUACCAAGGCGCUUGAGAGAACUCGGGUGAAGGAACUAGGCAAAAUGGUGCCGUAACUUCGGGAGAAGGCACGCUGACACGUAGGUGAAGUGAUUUACUCAUGGAGCUGAAGUCAGUCGAAGAUACCAGCUGGCUGCAACUGUUUAUUAAAAACACAGCACUGUGCAAACACGAAAGUGGACGUAUACGGUGUGACGCCUGCCCGGUGCCGGAAGGUUAAUUGAUGGGGUCAGCGCAAGCGAAGCUCCUGAUCGAAGCCCCGGUAAACGGCGGCCGUAACUAUAACGGUCCUAAGGUAGCGAAAUUCCUUGUCGGGUAAGUUCCGACCUGCACGAAUGGCGUAAUGAUGGCCAGGCUGUCUCCACCCGAGACUCAGUGAAAUUGAACUCGCUGUGAAGAUGCAGUGUACCCGCGGCAAGACGGAAAGACCCCGUGAACCUUUACUAUAGCUUGACACUGAACAUUGAGCCUUGAUGUGUAGGAUAGGUGGGAGGCUUUGAAGCGUGGACGCCAGUCUGCGUGGAGCCGACCUUGAAAUACCACCCUUUAAUGUUUGAUGUUCUAACGUGGACCCGUAAUCCGGGUUGCGGACAGUGUCUGGUGGGUAGUUUGACUGGGGCGGUCUCCUCCUAAAGAGUAACGGAGGAGCACGAAGGUUGGCUAAUCCUGGUCGGACAUCAGGAGGUUAGUGCAAUGGCAUAAGCCAGCUUGACUGCGAGCGUGACGGCGCGAGCAGGUGCGAAAGCAGGUCAUAGUGAUCCGGUGGUUCUGAAUGGAAGGGCCAUCGCUCAACGGAUAAAAGGUACUCCGGGGAUAACAGGCUGAUACCGCCCAAGAGUUCAUAUCGACGGCGGUGUUUGGCACCUCGAUGUCGGCUCAUCACAUCCUGGGGCUGAAGUAGGUCCCAAGGGUAUGGCUGUUCGCCAUUUAAAGUGGUACGCGAGCUGGGUUUAGAACGUCGUGAGACAGUUCGGUCCCUAUCUGCCGUGGGCGCUGGAGAACUGAGGGGGGCUGCUCCUAGUACGAGAGGACCGGAGUGGACGCAUCACUGGUGUUCGGGUUGUCAUGCCAAUGGCACUGCCCGGUAGCUAAAUGCGGAAGAGAUAAGUGCUGAAAGCAUCUAAGCACGAAACUUGCCCCGAGAUGAGUUCUCCCUGAGACUU